UACGUAGGGUGCAAGCGUUGUCCGGAAUUAUUGGGCGUAAAGAGCUCGUGAGGCGGUCUGUCGCGUCUGCUGUGAAAACCUAGGGCUUAACUCUGGGCGUGCAGUGGGUACGGGCAGGCUAGAGUGCGGUAGGGGAGACUGGAAUUCCUGGUGUAGCGGUGAAAUGCGCAGAUAUCAGGAGGAACACCGGUGGCGAAGGCGGGUCUCUGGGCCGUAACUGACGCUGAGGCGCGAAAGCGUGGGGAGCAAACAGG
rnacentral:rRNA from 1 species